CCUACGGGGGGCAGCAGUGAGGAAUAUUGGUCAAUGGGAGAGAUCCUGAACCAGCCAAGCCGCGUGAGGGAAGACGGCCCUAUGGGUUGUAAACCUCUUUUGUCGGAGAACAAAACCCGGGACGUGUCCCGGACUGCGUGUAUCCGAAGAAAAAGCAUCGGCUAACUCCGUGCCAGCAGCCGCGGUAAUACGGAGGAUGCGAGCGUUAUCCGGAUUUAUUGGGUUUAAAGGGCGUGCAGCCGGGCCGACAAGUCAGAUGUGAAAUCCGCGGGCUUAACCUGCGAACUGCAUUUGAAACUAUUGGU
rnacentral:rRNA from 1 species